GACGAACCGUGCGACCGUUAUUCGGAAUCACUGGGCUUAAAGGGCGCUUGGGCGGGCUGCCAGGUCUGGGGGGAAAUCCCGCGGCUCAACCGCGGAACUGCCUCAGAUACUGUCGGCCUCGAGGAAGGUAGGGGCAUGCGGAACUGUAGGUGGAGCGGUGAAAUGCGUUGAUAUCUACAGGAACUCCGGUGGCGAAAGCGGCGUGCUGGACCUUUUCUGACGCUGAGGCGCGAAAGCUAGGGGAGCAAACGGG
rnacentral:rRNA from 1 species